rnacentral:lncRNA from 1 species
UUUUUUUUGAACGAGAUGGGGCAGUGAGGAGGUCGAGCGGUGGUCGAAGGUUGCUGGCCGGGGAAACAACGACAACGGUGGUGGUGGGGAAGAAGGGAAGCAAGGCUGCGGCGGGCUGUGCCAAGGAUCGUUGCUCUGAUACCAAAUGAUAAGACCCUAAAGUCUUAUCGUCGCUCUGAUACCAAAUGAUAAGACCCUAAGGUCUUAUCGUAGAAGAGAUGGG